AGUGACAAUUAAAUGUAUUACGAGGGUCGUGAAGGUAGCUUAACUUGAGAACUCUUGGUUUUAUGAAAAGUUGAUUACACAGGCUAAAAACAACUCCUGCCGUCUCAGAAUUAAUUACUUUUGUCUGACUUUCAUGGA